rnacentral:sRNA from 1 species
AUGACUCCGGCUCCUCGGCGCCGUCCGCACCCACCUGACGGCUGCUCGCUACGUGUUAUCAGCC